AUGAUGUGGGUUGUGGUGGCGGAGGUGAUGAUAAAGGUGGUUGUGAGGAGGAUGACGGGGGAGCAAUCUGAGGUGCCUAUGGAGUAGUCAUCUGAGCCCUAAACUCACGGAAACGAUCAAACAAAAUACUGAGCUGAAUCUCGGUGGAAGUGAGCCUAUACUCUGUAGUAGUGAGCGACAUGUGGCUCGGGUGGUAAGGGUCAGACGGGCUCAUGCCCGGAGGUGGCUGAGAGUGAGAACCUGUGAAGUAUGGAGAAGGAUAGGUAACUGUGCUAUGUAGGGAUGGUGUGGAGUGAAACAAAUCUCCAACAGUAGAAAAUGGGACAUGUGAAGGAUACUCCGUCAUAGGGUGACCGGGGGUAGUAUGUGAGGGUCCAGCAGCGUACGGGUCCUGAAAGGGACCAAAAGUCGGUGUCACCGAAGUGGAAAAGAACCCAUAAAAGAAUAUGAAGAUGGCUGGCCAAUGUACUGGGGAGCACUACUCAAGGUGUAAUGUGCAGGCCCAGUAGUGAAAUGAGGUAAAUCAGGUAGAAUGGGGUCAACAAAUGCAGGUGAGGUAACUGUAGGUGGGGGUAGUGUCACACCCCGAUUUUCGGUUUAUGCGGAAGCGUGUCGCGAGGUGUGGCCAGAGCGGCAAUCAUUACAAUCAAUCGAGUAAACAACAUAUUUAAGACAUAAAAGAUGUUCAUCCAUACAUUCGUUUUGAGACCAUAAUUUACAAUACAAACAUCUUGUUCGGAAUUAAAAUAACUACAACUUUAACCACAUUGUUCAAAGUUCAAAAUAGUUCCACAUAACAUGAUAACUGAAAACGGAUGAUAUAUCAAAAGCUUGCGUUCUUGAUAACAACACGAACAUAUUUUUCCAAAGCCGUCCACUAAUCUCCUGUAAUACAUGUUAGUUUUGAAAACGUCAACAAAAGUUAAGUGAAUUCAUGUUAUUUAGUUUUUGCAUCAAAUGAGUCUCCAAAACAUUUGAAGUAGUAAAAUCCGUUUUGUAUAGUAUGAUGAAAAUCGUGUGAUCAUUAGUGUUUUGCAAGGACACUAAUAUGUAUGCCAGAAUAGGAGGCAACCAAACCUUGGCAAUUUAUCGUGUGUGUCAAUGACACUAGUUUGGACACAAAGGCACUCUUAACGAUCGCGGUUAUCGUUGUCGUUAAGAGUGGGGCUUGCCGAAACCCAAAUAGAUCUAUUCGUUUGUUACUCGGUACUUGUUUAUUCAUUAAUGGUCCCUUUAUUUUAAACACAUAUUCGCAUAUGAUCAAAAUAGUUUCAUCGUAUCAUCAUACUAUUUGUAACAUGUAUACAUCCCCGAAAGUUUAAAACUAUAAACAUUCAAAGUAAAAGGGGAAACAUGAACUCACAAAUUUGCGUUCCGUGCAAAUCUCUAUUCGAUUCCGGGUUCGUCGUUUGUUUCUCGACCUACAAGUGUUCUAAUCUCGUUAGACACUUAGGUUUGUGUUUGUUUUUCGUAUAAGUAAUUCAUCUUGAAUUUUGUUUUUAGUUCCUUGUAAUCGUUUGUUUUCUUUGUUUGUGUUGUAUAUAUAUAUAUAUAGUUUAUGUUUGAAGUGGAGAGUUCAAAUGAGAAGAAACUUUUUGUAAGAAUAAAAAAAAGAAAUUUCAACCAAUAAGAAUGUUUCAUUUUAGUUCAUUUAAUUUUUGUAUUUAAUAUUAGUGUAAGGGUAUAUUGGUAAACUUAAAUGGAUCAUUAAUUGGUAGUUUUAUUUUUAUUAGCUAACUACAUUAAAUUUGUAACUUAUUUUCAAAAAAACAUAUU
rnacentral:lncRNA from 1 species